UACGGGGGGGGGCAAGCGUUGUUCGGAAUUACUGGGCGUAAAGGGCUCGUAGGUGGCCAACUAAGUCAGACGUGAAAUCCCUCGGCUUAACCGGGGAACUGCGUCUGAUACUGGAUGGCUUGAGGUUGGGAGAGGGAUGCGGAAUUCCAGGUGUAGCGGUGAAAUGCGUAGAUAUCUGGAGGAACACCGGUGGCGAAGGCGGCAUCCUGGACCAAUUCUGACGCUGAGGAGCGAAGGCCAGGAGCA
rnacentral:rRNA from 1 species